AACCCUGAUAACUCUCGCAACCAGAGGCCCCUUCGGACUCGGAGCCUUCGGAUCCUCUCUGUCGUCUCAAGGAAACAUGGAGGUUGUGCGGUUGUCACGUGCGUUACGCUUAGGUCGACUUUGGGCAAAACAGGCAUGCUUAGCGCCUCCGUCGUCGAGAUGUUUAAACCUGCACGAAUAUCAAAGCAAACAGCUAAUGGCUGACAAUGGCAUUACUGUCCAGAGGUUCAAAGUGGCAGACAAUGUCACUCAAGCACAGGAGAUUUCUAAAACACUUGAUGUUGCAGAAUUUGUCAUCAAGGCGCAAAUACUUGCCGGUGGCAGAGGCAAAGGGACGUUCAGCAGCGGUCUUCGUGGUGGAGUAAAACUCACUAAGGACCCAGCCCAAGUAUCGGAACUUGUGAGCAAGAUGCUUGGCUAUAAGCUGGUCACAAAGCAAACACCAAAGGAUGGCGUCCUAGUAAACAAGGUGAUGAUUGCUGAGGCUCUGGACAUAGCGAGAGAGACCUACCUGGCCAUCCUGAUGGACCGUUCAUACAAUGGUCCCGUGGUAGUGGCCAGUCCGGCUGGAGGUGUAGACAUUGAAGAUGUCGCUGAAAAGACGCCGCACCUGAUUUUUAAGGAGCCGAUCAGUAUACUGGAGGGCAUCACUCACACACAAGCACAGAAGAUUGCAAAGAACCUCAACUUCAAGGGUCCGCUAUUGGAUAAGGCAGCUGAACAGAUAGAGAGGUUGUACAGCUUAUUUCUCAAAGUUGAUGCCACUCAGGUUGAAGUGAACCCGUUUGGAGAAACGCCAGAUGGAAGAGUGGUGUGCUUUGAUGCCAAGAUCAACUUUGACGACAAUGCGGCCUUCAGACAGCAGGACAUUUUUGCUCAGGAAGACACAUCUGAGAGCGAUCCCCGAGAAGUGCUUGCAUCCAAGCACAACCUCAACUACAUUGGCAUGGAUGGAAACAUUGCCUGCUUAGUAAAUGGAGCAGGCCUGGCCAUGGCCACCAUGGACAUUAUCCAGCUGCACGGUGGUACACCGGCUAACUUCUUGGAUGUUGGCGGCUCAGUCAAGGAAGACCAAGUCACACAAGCCUUCAAGAUCAUCACAGAUGACCCCAAGGUCAAAGCUGUCCUUGUGAACAUCUUUGGAGGCAUUGUCAACUGUGCCACCAUUGCUAAUGGAAUCACGAGUGCAUGCCGCUCAAUCAACCUCAAUGUGCCUCUGGUGGUGAGGCUGGAAGGAACCAAUGUUGAUGAAGCAAGGAACAUCUUGAGUUCCAGUGGGUUGCCCAUCACUACCGCUGCAGACUUGGAAGAUGCAGCACAGAAAGCUGUAGCCAGCCUGAAAGGUUGAGCCACAGGUGCCUUCGCUAACCAAGGUAGCGUAGUGCACUUUCCCAUCAGCAUUUUCACAUGAGCCUCCCAGUCAUAAGGCGACAAUCUGCCAGUGGAAAAAAAAAUGGUUUUGUUGUACAGAGCAGCCUGUAGCUGCAUUUACAGGGCCCAAUCUUGUCUACUAAUAAACAUGCUAAGCAUUCCUAAAA
rnacentral:misc_RNA from 1 species